UUGAAAGGGAAACGAUUGAAGUCAGUCGUACCUGCGGGUAAUCAGCCUUUUGGGCAUGAUUCUGUGGAGCGUGAGGAGUUAAACGCCUUCAUGCCUGCAUAUUCGUGUACUUUGGGUGUACUUGCCUGUGUGGUUAGUUAACAUCAAUUUUGGUUAUCAUAAAAUGGUUGGAGGAAUGUAGCUUCGAUUUCGAUUGAAGUGUUAUAGCCUUCGGCAGAUGUGAUGAUCGGGAUUGAGGAUUGCAACGGAUACCCUUCGGGGCUACCUGUCUGAUCUCUGAUCGUUGCUCUGGUGCCGAAAGCGUGCUUACGGUUAUCAAAGUCGAUGGUCAAUAGGUUAGAAUGGGUUAAAUUCGUUAAGGAUGUUGACGUA
rnacentral:rRNA from 1 species